UACGGAGGGAGCUAGCGUUGUUCGGAUAUACUGGGCGUAAAGCGCACGUAGGCGGCGCAGCAAGUCAGGGGUGAAAUCCCGGAGCUCAACUCCGGAACUGCCCUUGAAACUGCAGUGCUAGAAUCUUGGAGAGGCGAGUGGAAUUCCGAGUGUAGAGGUGAAAUUCGUAGAUAUUCGGAAGAACACCAGUGGCGAAGGCGACUCGCUGGACAAGUAUUGACGCUGAGACGCGAAAGCGUGGGGAGCAAACAGG
rnacentral:rRNA from 1 species